AGCGAACGCUGGCGGCGUGCUUAACACAUGCAAGUCGAACGCUCGUAGCAAUACGAGAGUGGCGGACGGGUGAGUAACGCGUGGGAAUCUACCUUGCGGCGGGGAAUCACUACUGGAAAGGGUCGCUAAUACCGCAUACGGCCCUUGGGGGAAAGGCUUUGGCCACCGCUGGAGGAGCCCGCGUCCGAUUAGCUAGUUGGUGAGGUAACGGCUCACCAAGGCGACGAUAGGUAGCCGGUCUGAGAGGAUGAUCAGCCACCCUGGGACCUGAGACACGGGCCAGACUCCUACGGGAGGCAGCAGUGGGGAAUAUUGGACAAUGGGGGAAACCCUGAACCAGCGACGCCGCGUGGGUGAUGAAGGCCUUCGGGUUGUAAAGCCCUUUCGUCCAAGAUGAUGAUGACAGUAGUGGAAGAAGAAGCUCCGGCUAACUCCGUGCCAGCCGCCGCGGUAAGAC
rnacentral:rRNA from 1 species